rnacentral:rRNA from 1 species
GACGAACGCUGGCGGCGUGCUUAACACAUGCAAGUCGAGCGGUAAGGCUCCUUCGGGAGUACACGAGCGGCGAACGGGUGAGUAACACGUGAGCAAUCUGCCCUUCACUUUGGGAUAACUCCGGGAAACCGGUGCUAAUACCGAAUACGACCACCGAUGGCAUCAUCUGGUGGUGGAAAGUUCCGGUGGUGAGGGAUGAGCUCGCGGCCUAUCAGCUUGUUGGUGGGGUAAUGGCCCACCAAGGCAACGACGGGUAGCCGGCCUGAGAGGGUGACCGGCCACACUGGGACCGAGACACGGCCCAGACUCCUACGGGAGGCAGCAGUGGGGAAUAUUGGACAAUGGGCGAAAGCCUGAUCCAGCAACGCCGCGUGA